GAAUGUCAUUUUACAGGUGAAAAUUUCAGUAUCAAGCAAUAAUCUGCAUACCUGACCCAUUAUCUGCCCACUGAAAAAAGCCACAUUGUUUUUCCUUCACAAAAGGGCACACAAAAAAGUUCUUUCCAUUAUUGGGACCAAUCUUCAACACAGUCUUCAUAACACAGCGCUUCCCAUGGUUACAGAAUGGAAAAUUCAAAUCAGCCCACUGCCAAAAGAAAUAAGUUUUAGUGUAUGUGAUGGCUAUGAAUUCCUUAUUUUAAAAUUGGUAACAGAAAUAGAUCUACAGAGGAGGCUUUAGCAGUCUCAAUUAUCCUGCCUACGUCCUCAGUUCUCUGUGGCCCUUUACUGCGUAAGGAGAAUCUGUAUUCAUACAGCCUAGUAUGCCAGCAAGCAAGAUCUGAUUUCACAACCAGGUGCUUCAGCAGUGAAAAAUACUUCUACAUUUCAGAAGAAAUACAUGACCAAGAAUUUUGUAGCAUAUCAUGAAUGUCUUUCACAUUCACUCUAUAUAAUUCAUCACCGUUAAUUUUAUCAACUUUGCACUCCCAUUAUUGCUGUGGAUCUCUGCCAGUCUUCUUCCUGACAACUUCAGUUUGAAAGAGAGAGGCUGCUGAUGGGAGGAUGAAGCCAUAGCCGUGACAUUUGUUGAACAGUACUUGUCUAUGCUUCCCCCUGACUGGUAUCCAUUAUUUUGGAUUUGAUCCAAAUUUCUCUUUGGUGAAUCAUGCUGAGUGUGUCCAUCAGAUAUUUGGGUAUUGUUUCUCAGAACAACUUUGCUACCAAGAUCUGUUAAGACAAGGGUUGUAUGUCCAAAUGCAGCUUUCCUGUUGAUCUUUAUUUCUACACUUGGCUUUCCAAAAUCAUUACAAGGGUACUUCAUUAAGCUUCUGUUAAAGGCUACAGAAUCUUCAUCAUUCUCUAUCUUUGGAACUAAGGAAAAA